rnacentral:lncRNA from 1 species
CAGGUAUUCUUCCUUCCCCGAGCUCUCGCUGCAAUCUGUUUGUUUGCUUGUUCAUCGCGUUCAGAUUGUUGGAGUUAUUUUUUUCCUUCGAAAAAAAGGGGAAGUUUGGUGGUGUGUUGGCGAUUUUCUUAGUAGGAGAAAAAAGGAGUUUGGGUUUAGUUGGAGCCGACGAUGCAUCCAAGGUGGUUUGUUUGGGAGGCUUCUUGUUAAUCUGUUCUUUUACAAAUUCAAAAUAGAAUUUUUGUCGGCCGAAAAUUUUGGAGAAUUUUUUGUAUGCCAAAGAUUGCGGGUGUGGUUGUUGGUUUUAAGCCUCGAGGUCGGUUGCGUUCUCCCACCAAAGUGCAAUAGCAUUGCGUCAUGGCGUGUGGUUUGGGCUUAUUCGGUUCUUUCAAUUUUCCGUACUCCAAGAGGAAAACAAAAGUGGCAUUUAUGCGUGCUGUGGCGUGCACUUUGUUCUUCGUUGCCGCUUAUCCGCCAUUAGAGAGCCCAUUGAGCCUUUUGGUCACGGGCGCUGUGAUGUGUGAUGGGCACGGGUUGAUGUUCCCCUCGCAGCAGUACCAUGCACGGACACGGACACAAGACUCACGGGGUGUUGUUAACUGUUUCUUCACCUACGCCCCGUUUUUUGGAGGCCAAUGUGGCACAUGAACGAGCAAGAAGGGCAGCGAGCAUGGAGUGAUCCAUUUGGGAUUCUUUCAAAAUCGUUGCAACUCAAGCGGGAGCUAUUUUGGGAAAUCUUGCUUAACCAUGUUUAUAACAUCGGUUUUUUUUACUGUUACAGCUUAAAACCAUAUCUGAAAUUCUAGUUAUAGCAGUAUUUCGCAUGGAAAGAUGGAGUGUCAUGAUUGAGUGCUGUCUGUUGCUCUUUACGAAACCAAUGUUGUAGGGUGUUGAGUACUGCAGAUAAACUGGGAAGAAAUUGGCCGCUGGCAGUUUGACUAGAUAUGUAAAUUAAGUAUACUUGUUGUAUUGUGUUAAACAAAUAGAAAAAUACGAACUGGAACAUUUGACCUGGUUAUUCAAAUUUUAGAUCAAGGAUUGUCACAUGUCAAAUGUUUUGUCUAGUUCAUGCCACAUUGCUGUGGUGUGAGAAAGAUGACCUGUAUUUCAGUAGAAUAGAUAUGCAGUUAUUGCAUUAGUUUUAGGGAUUACUGCACUUUAUUGUCCAAAUGUAGCACCCCGAUGGCAUCUAUUGAUUGAGCUAUAGAUCGAUGUACAUUCUCUGUUCGGUCAUGAAAUCUAGCACUUCAUUUUAUCGUCGUCCUCAUUUUACCAGGUUCUGUAUGGAAAAGCCAUGUAGAUUAUCAUGGCCUAGAAUGUGAAGUUUUUUGGCAGCCAAUUUUCUCUGGAAGCUUCACCUUCUCUGUAUUGCUAUCCUUAUUUACAUAUACAUGACUAGAUGGGCCCUCUAGCAGAUGGGCCAGCACAUAAAACACACACAUACUGUUGUAUUUACAGCCCAACACUCCCCCUCAAGAUGGGUGAUAGAUAUCUAUCAUACCCAUCUUGUCACAUGAACUAUUACACUCUUUAACACCUAAACCCUUUGUGAAACAAUCAGCAACUUGUCCACCAGACAUUACAAAUUCUAAUUCCAAAACUCCCUCAUCCAGUUUUUCCUUGAUAAAGAAACGAUCCAACUCCACAUGCUUUGUUCGAUCAUGUUGAACUGGGUUGUUAGCAAUGCUGAUUGCUGACUUGUUGUCACACCACAAUUUCAUUGGAGUAUCCACCGGCAACAUCAACUCAGAAAGAAGAUUCCUUAGCCAUAACAACUCACUCAAACUCACUGACAUUGCCCGAUAUUCUGCCUCAGCGGUUGAGCGAGACACCACCGGUUGCUUCUUGCUCCUCCAAGAUACUAGAUUGCCACCAACAAACACACAAUAGCCUGAAGUUGAUCUUCUAUCAUCAGGACAACUUGCCCAAUCUGCAUCACAAUAGCCUUCAACCUCCAAGUGUCCAUUUUUCUUAAACCAUAGGCCUUUACCUGGGCUUCCUUUCAAAUAUCUCAAGAUCCUAUAGACAGCAUCCAUAUGCCCACUCCUUGGAUCAUGCAUAUAUCGACUCACCAUACUGACAGCAUAAGUUAUGUCAGGUCGUGUAUGACAUAAAUAUAUCAGUCUCCCAACCAGCCUUUGGUAUCUUUCCUUAUUCACUGGAUUUCCAGACUCUGCACAUAACUUAUGAUUUUGAUCAACUGGUGUAGAGGCUGGGCGACAUCCAAGCAUACCUGUGUCACUGAGCAAGUCCAAUGCAUAUUUCCGCUGUGAAAGAACUAUCCCUCUAGGAGAUCUUGCAAUUUCAAUACCCAGAAAAUAUUUCAACUGGCCUAGGUCCUUAACUUCAAAUUCUUUGCUUAGAUUUUGUUUCAGCCUAGUUAUCUCCGAGCAAUCAUUUCCAGUGAUAAUCAUAUCAUCAACAUAAACAGCAAGAAUGGUUAUAUGAUCUCCACUAUGAUGAUAGAAAACUGUGUGAUCUCCAUUACAUUGUUUAUAGCCCAUAGCACACAUUGCACGCCUAAAUCGAUCAAACCAUGCUCUUGGCGACUGUUUGAGACCAUAUAAGGAUUUCUUCAGUCUCAAUACUUUACCUUUAGUUUGCAAAGUAGCAAAUCCAGGUGGAAUUUCCAUAUAUACCUCCUCUUGAAGAUCGCCAUGUAGAAAAGCAUUCUUGACAUCCAAUUGAUGUAAUGGCCAAUCAAAGUUAACUGCACAAGAUAUUAUAGUUCUUACCGUACUCAUUUUUGCAACCGGUGCAAACGUUUCAUCAUAAUCAAUUCCAUAUGUCUGGCUAUAUCCCUUAGCCACAAGUCUUGCUUUGUACCUCUCCACUUUUCCAUCCGGAUUUUGUUUCACUGCAUAUACCCACUUACAGUUUACCACUUUCUUUCCAUUGGGAUAGGAUACAAGAUCCCAUGUUUUGUUCUUCUCAAGAGCUUCUAGUUCAUCUAGCAUUGCUUGAUGCCACCUUGGGUCUUGCUUUGCCUCUUUCCAAUCCUUAGGAAUUAUAGCUGAAUUUAGAGAUGCCACAAAGGCCUUGUAUGUCGAUGACAAGGAAGUGUAAGAUACAUAAUUGGCUAUAUCAUUCUCAUCACCACUUUCAUCUCCAAUUUCAAAACCAUAUCUUUGUGGAGGUUUGCCUGCAUUGCUUCUCAUCCCCUUUCUUAUGGCAAUUGGCAAGUUUGAUUCUUCUUCUCUAAUUUCUAUUUGUUCUCCCCCUGACUCCGAAGACACUUGCACAUGAGUAAGAUCAUCUGAUACUUGAUCAUCAACUUCAACUUGUUGAGUUGUUGGAAGUCUCAUUCUCCUUGUGUAAACUUGAAGAUUUUCCUCUUCAUGUGGCUUUCUCCAUUCUUGUUCUUGUACAGGAUCACCUAUAGCACAUGGAAUUUCACCAACCACAAUCUUUCCCUUUGAUUGUUCAUUCUCCUUGAGACCCAAGAUUUCACCUUCCUUUUGUUGAUCAUGGUCACCUCUAGUUAAAUCAUCAAGAUCAACAAAUAAAGAGCUUAUAUCUGUUUUCUCACCAUAGAAUGGAACAGAUUCCCUAAACGUAACAUCCAUACUUACAAAUGUCCGCCGUUCUGAUGGACUCCAACACUUAUACCCCUUCUGGCUGGAUGAAUAGCCUAUAAAGAUGCAUUUAACAGCUCGAGGAUCAAGUUUCCCAAUAGAUGGUCUAUGAUCUCUAACAAAACAAGUGCAGCCAAACACCCUCGGUGGAACCACAAAUUCAUUCUUCCCAAAUAUCAUCUCAUAUGGUGUCUUCAUUCCAAGUAUUCUUGAUGGUGUGCGGUUGAUGAGAUAAGCUGCCGUCAUUACUGCCUCACUCCAUAGAAAUUUAGGUACAUUCAUAGUAUACAUUAGUGACCGAGCUAUCUCCAAAAGAUGGCGAUUUUUUCUUUCAGCCACUCCAUUCUGUGGAGGAGUAUCAGGACAAGAAGUCUGAUGUAAUAUUCCUUCCAAAGAAAGAAAGUGACCGAAUUCACUAUUCAUAUACUCCCCUCCAUUAUCAGUUCUAAUAAACUGAACCCGAGCAUUAAAAUGAUUUUUAAUAUAUGCAUAAAAGUUUUGGAAGCAUUUAAGCACUUCAUCCUUAUGUCUCAUGAGAUAUAACCAUGUCAUGCGGGAAUAGCAAUCAAUAAAGGUGACAAAAUAUUUCAUUCCACUCAUAGAAACCACAGGCGACGUCCACACAUCUGAGUGGAUUAGCAUAAAGGGCAAAAUACUGCGAAGUCCUCUACUCACAUAUGAUGUUCUAGUAUGCUUCCCAUACUCACAUGCAUCACAUAUCAGCAUAUGUUUAUCCACUUUACUAAACUCUACCGGGAACAUUUUACUCAUAAUUUCAAAAGAUAUAUGUCCUAGUCGACAAUGCAAAAGUAAUACCUCAGUCACUUCUUUACUUGUUGAAGCCAUUAGUGCACACACAUCCUCAUUUGUCCCUCUUCUGUCCAAGUACCAAAGUCCAUCACGCCUGAUACCAAUCCCAAGUUUCUUCCCUGUUCUUCUCUCCUGAAUUAAACAAUUCUCACGAUCAAGGGAAACCCGACAAUCCAUAUUAUCAACAAGAGAACUUAUUGAAAUUAAAUUCACUGGAAAAGAAUGGACAUAUAACACUGAUGACAAAGUAAUGGAUGGAGUACAUUGCACUAUGCCCUCCCCCUUAACCUGACAUGAUGUGCCAUCAGCAGUUUGAAUGGUCUCUUUAUGUGCAAAUGAAUAUGGUUUAUAUGAUGUAAAUUCUCCACUCAUGCCAGUGACAUGCCUGGAUGCACCUGAGUCUAAUAUCCAACUUGAAUGAGAAGUGUUCAUAGACAUAAAUGCUUGAUUAAAACUACCUGAAGUAGAAUGAGCAAAGUUGGCAACAUUGUCAGGUGUAGUCCCGGAAGAACCCUCUUCUAGAGUAACUGCAUUAGCCUUGUAAUCACCUCUAUAUCCAUAACCUCUUCCUCUAUUGCUCCUACCAGCAUAGCCUCUUCCACCUCUUGUUCCACCUCUAUCAACACCUCUUCCUCUCCCAUAAGUAGGCUUGCGUGGAGCAUGACAAUCACGCAUAAGGUGUCCCAUUUCACCACAAUUGAAGCACUCUCUAGUCUCUUUACCUUGUACAAUUGCAUAGGUGGGACUUGGUGAACAUGGUGCGGCACUAGGCAAUACUUUCUUCUUAAGCUCCUCCUGUGCCAUAGCUGCAAUGGCCUCAUCUAAGGUAGGAAGAGUGGUUUGGUGAAACAUUGCAUCUCUUCUUCCUUCGAACUCUGGAUUUAGACCCUUCAAGAACUCAAUAACCCUUCUACGCUCAACCCAUUUCUUCAUUUUUGCUAUGCAAUCAGAGUGCUCUAAUCCAAGAGGAUCAUAAUGAUCUAAAUCGGACCACAAACUCUUCAACUCUGCGACAUAUUCUGCCACAGAGCGCUCCCCCUGUCUCAAAGCACUUAUCUUCUCUUGUGCCUCCACCAUUAGCAUCACAUUACCUUCUCCUGAGUAUAGUUUAGUAAGAGUUUUCCACAUCUCACUCGCACUAGAGAUAGUCUCAACAGUUGUAGCAAUAGCUGGGAUUAAUGAAGUCAACAACCAUGCCACCACUAAAGAGUUGGUAGUGCUCCAAGUCUUCCAUUCUACACUUGAUGUGUUCUCAGGCUCCUUCACUUCUCCUGUGACAUAUCCUUCUAACCCCUUUGUUUUUAGUAUUAGUAAUGCCCUCCUUGACCAACUCAAAUAAUUUUUGACACCCUCCAACUUGAUUUCGUUUUGCAUUAACUCAAUCUUCAGUAUUGAUUCAGUAUGAGGGAUAAUUGCAUUGCUUGUAGUUGAGGCCUCACUAAAUUUUUUCGCUAGCAUGUCCACCAAUUUACCCAUCACUUGUUCUAUUCCUUGAUUUUCUGCCAUAAUGCAAAUUCUGAAACUGCAAACCAGUAGAAACCCAACUAGCAGAUCUGAGCCCCCUGUUCUACCUUUCCCUUCCUAUAGAUUGCUCAAAUAGUCAAUAUCACAAAAGCAGUAGCUGUGCUUUUAUCUCGGUUUCCUUGCCAAUCACACACCCACAAGAGAUGCAAAGUCUUCACUGUGCUGUGACCCCGCCACUACAGAGCAAGAGCCACUUCUUCCUGAGGAGCACCAACACCAGCUGUUUACCAGCACUUUCUUUCUUGCCUCAGCCCAAAGCAGCUCUGCACCUGCGAGCUCAGCCCCAAGCAGCAGCAGCAGCUCCGCACCUGCAGCUGCUCGGCUUCUUCCUCCUCGACGCGCCGCGCUGGCCCCGCUCUUCCGCGCCGCUGCUGAUGCGCACUCUCUACCCUGCUCAAGCCUCCACGCCUCCGGCCAGCUAGGGUUCAGCCGUCGCCUGCCGCCGGCCGGUCGGCUCUGAUACCAUGAAGUUUUUUGGCAGCCAAUUUUCUCUGGAAGCUUCACCUUCUCUGUAUUGCUAUCCUUAUUUACAUAUACAUGACUAGAUGGGCCCUCUAGCAGAUGGGCCAGCACAUAAAACACACACAUACUGUUGUAUUUACAGCCCAACAGAAUGUGAGAUCAAAUGACAAAGAUAUGAGCCAUGCUUGUGAAUGUGAGCAUAUCAGAUUAAUUUUUGUUGCACAUCUUGUUUAGAUUUAAUCCAUACAACUAAUUUCCAUGCUUUUCCAGUACACAAAACAAAACAAGCACAUGGCAUCUUUACUUCAAUGAGAU